rnacentral:tRNA from 1 species
CGGCCAGUGGCAGUGCGAUCAGAUGCAUCUCCGUAUCAAGGAGACUGUCGCGGGUUCGAAUCCAGUCUGGAUGG